UACUCACAGAGCACUGGUCAGGUUGAAUGCAUUCUAUGUUUAAAAGGAGUUGUCAUACUAUGGAACUGAGCAAUCCCCCCAGAGAGGCUGCCCACCAGAAGCCAAGUGUUUCUGCUCCAUUCUACAAUUGCUGGUGUUUAAGAUAAGGAACAUCUUCUUUUUCCUGUGGAAAGGAACUGGUUAAAGACUGGCAGAUAACAAGCAAGGAGCAGACAGACUCCAAAUUAACUGAAGAAACAACAACUUGUUUAAGAGGAAAGCUCUACUGUUGAAAGAUAUGGCAUCAACUGACACAUUCACUGCUGAGAAUUCACUGCUGGAGCCCCAGACACGCCUCUCAAGUAUGCAGCAUUAAUUUCUCACACUUGUCAUUUAGCUGUGUUAGAAGUAACUUACUCAGUGUGACAACCAAACAGAUGAUGACGAGAUUUCUAUCUAAUCAUGUCUUAUUUGAACUAGUCAACAGUCUGAAUCUUCAAUCACACAAACUCUCCAAAGCUAACUGUGGCACCCACUAGAACAGACUUUAAUAUUUCUUCAUAUUUAAUAAGAGAAAAGGAACUAACCUCUUUUUUCUUCUUCUCGUUUUAGUUUAUCUUCCUCUAUUUCUUUAGGUAAUUU